CACCGGCCAAUGACAUGACCACAUUGAAAUGGUCUAUAUAUUAGGAUCUUUUAUGAUUUCCCACAAGUAAGAAUAACUGUGUCAGCUAUAGUAUUAUGUGGACAGCAUUCAAAAGUAAAUCUGACCAGCAUUUAGGCGCAUUUUGUCGUAAUGGAUAACAUCCAAUAACAAUAUAGUACGCCUAAAAUAAUGACUCGCAAAAUAGCAAAGCAAUUAACCCAGUGCAUGACCACAGACACACAAGGCGGAAGGUGUAAAAAUAGCCAGCACGUUAACGCAAUGAUAUUCAUCUCCAGCAUAUGAUCACUGCUGCUGCCCAUAAAUCAUAUUGCAUAAAAAGGCCAAUUAAUUAGGCUUGGAAGGAGACAGAUUCCCGCUUGAGGAACCCCCCACCCUCGGAGCAGACCUGAGCAAUGCCCUCAGUCUACAACACGCUCUGUCAGGAACACUACAGCAUGUUCCUCAUUUCCUCUAAUAAAAGCCGCAGACUGUGGAGUGACUCCCGGGCCAGAGAAGCCCAGGACAAAAACACUCUCCUUUGUGUUUCUGCUGGUGCGCGCACGACUUAACUGCCUACCGCAAAAAGCUGGCGCACGCAUCCAGCCCUAAAGCCCGAGCUGAUGUCCCCAAAUGCCGAUGUAGCUUUAAUAUGCGUGGCCAGCUCGAGUCACAGAGCUGAGAGGAGGGAGGAGGAGGAGGGAGGGAGGGGGUUAUAUGGGUCCGAUCCGCUGCUUUCACGAGCCCCAAGUGUCCACAUUCAGUUACAAUGGUGGAUUUCUCUAAGCGCGCGCCCACAAAAGUUGACUUCGCUCCAUGCAACGGCGAAAGCGGUUCAUACUCUACCUGAUUCUCCAUAGUUCACCGGCCUGACGAAGGUCCUGUUUAUUUACAGAAGGCUUUUGAGCGGCUGCUCCCGACUCCUCAUUGUGUGUCAAUUCCAGCCCAAAACCGGAAACUAGACGGUUCCCCUCCCCUCUCCGGACCUCUGGCAUGCACCCAAAACAGAAAGCACUCCUGGCCAAUCAGAUGCCGUUUAGAAUGCGCUUUACGCCGCUCCGCCAAUUGAAAAGCGCUAUGGGCGGGACUUCCCACAGGCUGCUUGUACUGAAGUGCAGACGCAGCUCUCCUAACAGAAGAAGACAUGCUAUUCAUGCCUCACAAGUGGGACGGAAAUAUGAUGACCAUGAAUAUGUUACCUGUCCUUAACGAAGGAAGGGAAGUGUUUGCGGGGAAACCACAGCGAGUAACCAAUAGCCAAAACCCACAGGAUGGACAGCUCAUCCAGCAUCUGGCCCAUAAAACUCAGAGUCAUGUGGAAAUAGAUGGAGAAGAUACCUGAAGAGACGGAGAGAAUGAAACCAUGGAGUGAAAAGGAAUUAUGGAAGUAAAAAGAUGCAUUUUGUUUGGUUUUAUGGUUAUCCUAGAAUUGACUACCACAUUUCAUUUUUUAGGGCUAAAUGCAAGUAAAAUAGUAAUAAAGUUGACUUUAAUAGGUUGAACAUAUAUGAGGUGAUGGAAUUUCAGAAGCAGCAUUAGCAUUUUCAGCUAAUUCAAAUUUAGCUUAGCCUUUAACUCCAACUAAUAAUACAUUUUAUAAACAUUUGUAGUUAUUAUUAUUAUAAAAAUUUUAGAACAUGUUUAGACAUUCAAAUGAAUCAAUCAAUCAAUAAUCAAUCAAUAAUUAUGUUGUGUGUUGAUUUGCAUAUAAAUCGUACACUCACUGGCCACUCUAUUAGGUACAACUGUCCAACUGCUCGUUAACGCAAAAUCAGC
rnacentral:lncRNA from 1 species